rnacentral:lncRNA from 1 species
GCUUCAGCGUGCACAUCCUCUGUCUACAGAAUCACUCUUAGUUCCUCCACACAACAGCCUUGGUGAUGGGCUUCAACCCGAUCAUAACUAAGUAUGUAGUUCCUGCUGGAUCCAUUCUUUCUUGUGGUGUUGCUUGAAGGGUUGGAUGCUACGACACUGGAUGUCGCAGCGAUUACAUAGAAUCCAAAAAAAUAACAGCAGAUUAAAGUGUAAAUCGGGAAGAAAACGAACCUGAUCUAGGUGAGGAAUUUAUUGGAUCUAAUGAACUCCUUAAGCACACUGAAUCCAUAUGCACCAGCUUACUUUGUU